CAUGCAAGUCGAACGAGCGAGAGAGAGCUUGCUUUCUCGAGCGAGUGGCGAACGGGUGAGUAACGCGUGAGGAACCUGCCUCAAAGAGGGGGACAACAGUUGGAAACGACUGCUGAUACCGCAUAAGCCCACGGUGCCGCAUGGCACAGAGGGAAAAGGAGCAAUCCGCUUUGAGAUGGCCUCGCGUCCGAUUAGCUAGUUGGUGAGGUAACGGCCCGCCAAGGCAACGAUCGGUAGCCGGACUGAGAGGUUGAACGGCCACAUUGGGACUGAGACACGGCCCAGACUCCUACGGGAGGCAGCAGUGGGGAAUAUUGCACAAUGGGGGAAACCCUGAUGCAGCGACGCCGCGUGGAGGAAGAAGGUCUUCGGAUUGUAAACUCCUGUUGUUGGGGAAGAUAAUGACGGUACCCAACAAGGAAGUGACGGCUAACUACGUGCCAGCAGCCGCGGUAAAACGUAGGUCACAAGCGUUGUCCGGAAUUACUGGGUGUAAAGGGAGCGCAGGCGGGAAGACAAGUUGGAAGUGAAAUCUAUGGGCUCAACCCAUAAACUGCUUUCAAAACUGUUUUUCUUGAGUAGUGCAGAGGUAGGCGGAAUUCCCGGUGUAGCGGUGGAAUGCGUAGAUAUCGGGAGGAACACCAGUGGCGAAGGCGGCCUACUGGGCACCAACUGACGCUGAGGCUCGAAAGUGUGGGUAGCAAACAGGAUUAGAUACCCUGGUAGUCCACACCGUAAACGAUGAUUACUAGGUGUUGGAGGAUUGACCCC
rnacentral:rRNA from 1 species